CAGUCGCCGCGGGAACACAGAGGGUGCGAGCGUUAAUCGGAUUUACUGGGCGUAAAGCGUGCGUAGGCGGCUUUUUAAGUCGGAUGUGAAAUCCCUGAGCUUAACUUAGGAAUUGCAUUCGAUACUGGGAAGCUAGAGUAUGGGAGAGGAUGGUAGAAUUCCAGGUGUAGCGGUGAAAUGCGUAGAGAUCUGGAGGAAUACCGAUGGCGAAGGCAGCCAUCUGGCCUAAUACUGACGCUGAGGUACGAAAGCAUGGGGAGCAAACAGGAUUAGAUACCCCCGUAGUCCCUGUCUCUUAUAC
rnacentral:rRNA from 1 species